CGGGGUGCAGCAGGCGCGAAACCUUCGCAAUGCGCGAAAGCGUGACGAGGUUAAUCCGAGUGGCCCCCGCUGAGGGGGUCUUUUGUCAGCUGUAAAUAGGCAGGCGAAUAAGGGGAGGGCAAGCCUGGUGUCAGCCGCCGCGGUAAUACCAGCUCCUCGAGUGGUCGGGGCGAUUAUUGGGCCUAAAGCAUCCGUAGCCGGUUCCGUAGGUCCUCUGUUAAAUCCAACCGCUCAACGGUUGACCUGCAGAGGACACCGCGGGACUAGGAGGCGGGAGAGGCGGACGGUACUCCGCGUGUAGGGGUAAAAUCCUUUGAUCCGCGGAAGACCACCAGUGGCGAAGGCGGUCCGCCAGAACGCGCUCGACGGUGAGGGAUGAAAGCUGGGGGAGCGAACCGGAUUAGAUACCCGGGUAGUCCCAGCCGUAAACGAUGCUAGCUAGAUGAUUCAUUCGCAAGUCGCGAAUGAAGUGUCGCAGGGAAGCCGUUAAGCUAGCCGCCUGGGGAGUACGGUCGCAAGACUGAAACUGAAAGGAAUUGGCGGGGGAGCAC
rnacentral:rRNA from 1 species